CUUCCUGUGUGGUGUGCUAUGAAGCAUGUGAAUAAUAAAAAAAAAUCUGUUCUUAUCAGUUUAAUAUCUGACGUCCUCUACCGAGGACUAAUAUAUUAAUCUGAUUUUUGGAACAGGGAAGCCGGAAGAAGGAGCUUGCUCCGUCCGGCUCCACUUGCUCGACCGGUAUUGCAGUGACUCAAGGAGCGGUGCACAU